UACAGAGGGUGCGAGCGUUGUUCGGAAUUAUUGGGCGUAAAGCGCGUGUAGGCGGUGAUGCAUGUCGGGUGUGAAAGCCCUCAGCUCAACUGAGGAAGUGCGCCCGAAACUGCAUCGCUGGAGUGCCGGAGAGGAAGGCGGAAUUCCCGGUGUAGAGGUGAAAUUCGUAGAUAUCGGGAGAACACCAGUGGCGAAGGCGGCCUUCUGGACGGACACUGAACGCUGA
rnacentral:rRNA from 1 species